rnacentral:lncRNA from 1 species
ACUGAAAUCCAGUGUUCUUCUUGGAAUAUUGUUCUGAUUCCUAAAUAUAGAGGAGUCUCUAAAUGGGGCAUUCAGGCCUGUUGAGGGGAUAGAUGCCUCAGUUGUGUCAGGACAAUGUAAUUCAUGAGCAAAUGCCUUCUUCACUGCAAUAACAUCAGAAUCAGUUCAAACAUCCAAUAAAACUAAUGCCAAAAAAAAAAAGUAACAUCAAAUUUCAUACCACUUUUUGAAGCAGGGACCUUUUUCUCAAUAGUGCCUUCAACUGAAGGACACUUUGUGCGGCCAAUAUUGUUCAGGGGAGGCUUUGUAUUAUAAGUAUGUUUUAAAGCACCCUUCUUUGUCCCAGAAGCUGUCAAAGGUGAGCAUAGCUUGGUCUUAUGUGAUAUAUUAGCUAUUGGACUGGAGGGGUCCGUGGAGAGAAUGACAUGUUCGAUGGAACAUGAUUACUUGCCAAAACAGGAACACUGUUGUCUUAUUAAAAACCUCAUUUCCAUUAGGAGACUCCCUUAAACCAUUU